AAGUAUUUCGGUCAAUUUUAGUCGGAUUCUAAAAUUGAGGGCUAAAUUGUAUCAAAUUAGACACUAGAUAUAGUAAAUUGUAAGCCCAAAUUCUUUAGGGACCGAAUUAUGAAUUUAAUGGUACUUCAUGUAACAGAAGUGUAAUUAGCCCUAAAUUUAGCUACCCCUUGGAGGUUAUGAAAGAAGAGUAUGCUUCAAAAGCACAG
rnacentral:lncRNA from 1 species